GUAUAUAUAUCUUAUAUUCUUUUACUUAUCUGUCUGCUAUCGUGUAGUAAUUGCACAAACAUUGCAAACAAUGAAAAUUACGUGCAAUUGUUAUUGUAUUUUGUUAAACAGCUAUUGAUAUUUUUAAAAAGUUGUAAUUUUGUGAAGAUCUGGAACUAAUCUACUAUCAGUUAAAGGUAGAAUCAUAUUGAAAAAUGAGUGAUAAUAAAGCUGCGGAGAACACUAGUGUGUUUAGCCCAGAGAAAACUCAGUAUUAUGAGGUCCACAAUAUAGUGGUUCCACAUAUUGGACCAGUUCCUAUUGCUAAGGGAGACUUUCACAAACUUCCUCAAAAAGUACAGAAAUUCAUUGCAAAAUGGGUUGACAUUUGUGCACCAAGAGCUUUGUACAUCUGUGAUGGUUCUAAAGCAGAGUCUGAUGAGAUCAUACACAAAUUGGUAGAAAGAGGUGUUCUAACAGAACUUAAAAAAUAUGAAAACUGGUAAGUUUAUUAUCCUUCAAUUUUAGACUUCCCUUUCCAAGGUAUCAACUUAAUAUUCUUGUGCAAUGUUAGGGACGACAUCAAAGAUCGAUGUCGGAUAAAAAACUUAAUCAAAUAGUUUGCGGGUGGGGGGUAAAAAUCGCUGCAAGUUUUGUUAUCCGACAUCGAUUUUUGGAUUGAAAAAUAUGGACUCGUUUGGCUCGAACAUAUGUUUGGACUUUUAAACCAAAUGAUUGCCAUCAAAUCGUACCGGAAAGCAAAUUUUUGGCUGAAAGUAUUUGGGCGAAAUUAAUCAUAGUAUCUUAUGUCGUUCAAACGCUUUAUCGAUCGUGAAUUUUGAAUGAUACGAAACCAUAUACAGAUCAACACAGACUGUUUUGGUCCACACUGCAUGGUGGCAUUCUA